UCAGCCACGGCUUACCUGGAAGA
rnacentral:miRNA from 1 species